AAGACCCAGGAAGUGGUGGAGCCAACGGCCAGCCAGACCCGUGGCAGUCCCAGCCCUAGGGUGCUCUCCGGGGUCGGCCAUUUAUUGGUGAGGCAACAGCCCCUUGACGACAGGGUUGUCGCAUUGGAGAUAAAGUCCGAGGAGGUGAACUAACCUUUCAACGUGCCACUGGCAGGGAAACUGUCUUCCUUUUCUCCAAGAUGUACAGAACCAAAGUGGGCUUGAAGGACCGCCAGCAGCUCUACAAGCUGAUCAUUAGCCAGCUGCUAUAUGACGGCUACAUCAGCAUCGCCAAUGGCCUCAUCAAUGAAAUCAAGCCUCAGUCUGUCUGUGCACCCUCGGAGCAGCUCCUGCAUCUCAUCAAACUAGGUAGAUUGUGAACACAAAUCCAUACAUCCCAUGGCAAGGUUUUAGAUGUUUUCAUAUGGCAGAAUUUUUCAAGAUUAUUCUUGUUUUGUUUUAGUGCCUAGUAUGAGCCGGGUACUUCAGUAAGGAAGUAGUUCAGUGUGAGUUCAGGAGGUAGCUCAGUAAGUACGGGGUAAGCAAAGUUCAGAUUAUGGAGACCUUAAGCUGGUUCUGGCCUG
rnacentral:sRNA from 1 species